UGUUAGUGGAAGCGUCUGGAAAGGCGUGCGAUACAGGGUGACAGCCCCGUACACAAAAAUGCACAUACUGUGAGCUCGAUGAGUAGGGCGGGACACGUGGUAUCCUGUCUGAAUAUGGGGGGACCAUCCUCCAAGGCUAAAUACUCCUGACUGACCGAUAGUGAACCAGUACCGUGAGGGAAAGGCGAAAAGAACCCCGGCGAGGGGAGUGAAAAAGAACCUGAAACCGUGUACGUACAAGCAGUGGGAGCCUCUUAAUGGGGUGACUGCGUACCUUUUGUAUAAUGGGUCAGCGACUUAUAUUCUGUAGCAAGGUUAACCGAAUAGGGGAGCCGAAGGGAAACCGAGUCUUAACUGGGCGUUAAGUUGCAGGGUAUAGACCCGAAACCCGGUGAUCUAGCCAUGGGCAGGUUGAAGGUUGGGUAACACUAACUGGAGGACCGAACCGACUAAUGUUGAAAAAUUAGCGGAUGACUUGUGGCUGGGGGUGAAAGGCCAAUCAAACCGGGAGAUAGCUGGUUCUCCCCGAAAGCUAUUUAGGUAGCGCCUCGUGAAUUCAUCUCCGGGGGUAGAGCACUGUUUCGGCAAGGGGGUCAUCCCGACUUACCAACCCGAUGCAAACUGCGAAUACCGGAGAAUGUUAUCACGGGAGACACACGGCGGGUGCUAACGUCCGUCGUGAAGAGGGAAACAACCCAGACCGCCAGCUAAGGUCCCAAAGUCAUGGUUAAGUGGGAAACGAUGUGGGAAGGCCCAGACAGCCAGGAUGUUGGCUUAGAAGCAGCCAUCAUUUAAAGAAAGCGUAAUAGCUCACUGGUCGAGUCGGCCUGCGCGGAAGAUGUAACGGGGCUAAACCAUGCACCGAAGCUGCGGCAGCGACACUGUGUGUUGUUGGGUAGGGGAGCGUUCUGUAAGCCUGUGAAGGUGUGCUGUGAGGCAUGC
rnacentral:rRNA from 1 species